UACGCAUGUCUGAACUUGCCUCUUUCAAGUUCUAAGGAUCAUCCAUGGCCAUUCUUCUUCCUCUCAUCCUCGCUUUCAUCAUUUCAUGCUCACUUUCUUCUGCAACUGAUACUCUUACGCAGUCUCAUUCACUUGUUGAUGACGCAAACGGAACCACCACCUUGGUGUCCAGCGACGGAACCUUCGAACUCGGUUUCUUCUCCCCCGGCUCUUCCUCAAACCGCUACCUUGGCAUCUGGUACAAAAAUAUCCCUGAUACGACCGUCGUCUGGGUGGCCAACCGCCAAACGCCGCUCAGGAACGACACCAACUUCACAACGCCGAGUCGUUUGAGCAUAACCGACGAGGGAGGUCUUGUGCUCCUCAGCCAAAACGGCACCGUGGUUUGGUCGGCAAACACGACGGUGAACAAUCAAGGCGUAAGUGUUGUUGCGCAGCUUUUGGAUUCAGGGAACUUGGUUCUGAGAAAUGCACAGGAUGAGGUUGAUGUUGUUGAUGAUGCGAAGUAUAUAUGGCAGAGUUUUGAUUAUCCGAGCGAUACGUUUUUGCCUGGAAUGAAGAUUGGGUGGGAUCUGAGAAGAGGGAUUAACAGGGAAUUGACGGCGUGGAAAAGUUGGGACGAUCCUUCUGUCGGAGACUUGAGAUGGGGUAUGGUGGUCGGAGUGACGCCGGAGCUGGUGAUGUGGAAGGGAGAAGAAGAGUAUUAUCGGAGUGGUCCUUGGAAUGGAGUUAUUUUCAGUGGGAAAACUACGCCAAUCUUUGAGCUUCAGUUCGUCUCUACUCAAGAUGAGAAAGAUGCCAGUCUAUGUCACGUGUAUCAUAUUACCGUCUCAUUGAUUCGGCCGAACAAAGUGGUUUACACUUCCAAGCUGCAGAACAAAUCGGUGAUCACAAGGGUUGUAUUGAACGGAACUACUUCUUAUCGUCAGCGCUAUAACUGGGUUGAGCAAACUAAAAGCUGGAGGCUUUACUCAUCUGUGCCCAGAGAUAAUUGUGACAACUACAAUCUCUGUGGCCCCUAUGGAAAUUGCAUAGUUAAUGACUCUCCCCCCUGCCAGUGUCUCUCAGGGUUCAAGCCAAAAUCACCCCAAAACUACAGUGCUUUGGACUGGACCCAGGGAUGUGUUCGCAGUGAAUCUUGGAGCUGUGGGGUAAAAAAUAGAGAUGGGUUUCGAAGAUUCAGUGGGUUGAAAAUUCCUGACACUAGAAAAGCUUGGGUUAAUGCAAGCAUGACACUUGGGGAUUGCAGAAUGAAAUGCUUGGCAAAUUGUUCCUGUACUGCUUAUGCAAACUUGUAUGUUACUGGGGGAGGUAUUGGGUGUUUGAUUUGGUUUGGUGAACUUAUUGAUUUGAGAGUGGCUUCCACUCCUGGGCAAGAUCUAUAUAUUCGAAUGGCUGCCGCGGAAACUGAUGCAAAAGGGCACAAGAAAAUGGUAGGCAUUGUGGUGACAGCGGUUACUGUUCCAUUGGUUUUUCUGGCGCUUUUGGCUCUCUCUUGCACUCAUUGGAGGAAAAGAGGGCGCAGAGAGAAAACCUCCCUAGAGAAUAACAGUGAAGGUGAACAAGAGGACUUAGACCUGCCAUUCUACGACCUUGCUACAAUUGUCCAUGCCACUAAUGACUUCUCAAAUGACAAGAAGCUUGGCCAAGGUGGUUUUGGACCAGUAUACAAGGGUAUUUUAGCAGAUGGACAAGAGAUUGCUAUCAAGAGGCUAUCACAGAGCUCUGGACAAGGAACGAAAGAAUUUAAGAAUGAAGUGUCAUUGUGUGCAAAACUUCAACACCGAAAUCUUGUCAAGGUUCUUGGUUGUUGCAUCCAAGGAGAAGAGAAGAUGCUCAUCUAUGAAUACAUGCCCAACAAAAGCCUAGACAACUUUUUAUUUGGUCCGUGUAUAUGCAGAAUCUUGUCUUUAGCAGAAUGGCAGAGCAAAUUCCUAGACUGGCCAAGGCGCUUUCAUAUCAUAUUUGGAAUUGCUCGAGGGCUUCUCUAUCUUCACCAAGAUUCUAGAUUACGGAUUAUACAUAGAGAUCUUAAAGCAAGUAACAUUUUGUUAGAUGGGCAGAUGAACCCGAAAAUUUCAGAUUUUGGCAUGGCAAGAAUGUUUGGUGGUGAUCAAAUUGAAGGGAAUACAAAUAGAAUAGCUGGUACCUAUGGUUAUAUGUCACCAGAAUAUGCCAUUCAUGGGUUAUUCUCCAUUAAAUCGGAUGUGUUUAGCUUUGGCAUGUUAUUAUUGGAAAUAGUAAGUGGAAAGAAAAACCGAGGAGCUUCUUAUCCAAACCAGGGUUUUAACCUUAUUGGACAUGCAUGGAGACUGUGGAAGGAUGGCAACCCACUGGAAUUAAUUGAUGGCUGUUUGGGGGAAGCUUUUAACUCAUCAGAAGCACUGCGCUGUAUUCGGGUUGGUCUUCUGUGUAUGCAACUGCAUCCUGAGGAUAGGCCAGACAUGGCCUCAGUAAUUGUGAUGUUGAGUAGUGAGAAUGUGUUGUCUCAGCCUAAGGAGCCUGGUUUCUUGAUAGAGAGGAUUAUGGUGGGAGAGGGAUGUGCUUCUUCUGGCAACCAGAUAUCUUCUUCAACUAAUGAAGUAACUGUGACUCAGUUGGAGGCCAGAUAAGAAUGUGUAGGGUUGUAAAUUGCGAAGUGGCAAAAAGUAAAAUAUUGUCCAUCAAAUACAAUUUUGCACAACGAGAUGCAGUCUGAAGGAUGAAGAUUGUAACCUAGAUUCCAAUAUAGCGAUGUGGACGGCUACCUGGGCCGAAAAAUCCCACUUCGUACUUUCCAUUGUCAGACACUAAGGUGGUUCUUCCAUCAUCAACAAGUGGCUGAGAUUGUGUGAUAAUAUUAAUAUCAGAUGAAGAGGCCACUGGAAGGAGGAAGAUAGUAAGCAGAUUGGUGAGAAGAAGCACACAAGGAGGGAUGGCCAUGGCUUUAACGAAGGUGUUGUAAAAUUCAAAGGUAUAUAUGGAAAUGAUGUAGGAGGAUAUAAGUGUAGAAGAAGCACGUUGAUUGACUUCUGAUGGGUCACAUAAAUCUCAUAAGUCGUCAGAUACGAGUAUAUAACUAUAUAUAGGGAAAGGUGGCAAGAGAUAGAAAACGGUUCGUUUCUGUAAUGCUUUAAGUCAAAAUCUGCUAGCUGCCUAAGUUUCCACUGUGGAUAUUGGUUUUUGAAUUCCUCCUAUUUUUUCGUAGUCUCCAGUAAGAGUUAGGAAAAUUUUAUUUAAGAAAUUCCGUGACAUACGAAAAAACUAUAGUAUUUUUACUAAGAGAUUGCCAGUGUAUCUUAAAAUUA